AAGAAGGCCUUAGGGUUGUAAAGCUCUUUCAGGGGUGAGGAUUAUGACAGUAACCCCAGAAGAAGCACCGGCUAACUUCGUGCCAGCAGCCGCGGUAAUACGAAGGGUGCAAGCGUUGUUCGGAAUCACUGGGCGUAAAGGGCGUGUAGGCGGACUGACAAGUUAGAGGUGAAAGCCCCGGGCCCAACCUGGGAACUGCCUUUAAAACUGUUAGUCUAGAAUCCGGGAGGGGAGUGUGGAAUUCCUAGUGUAGAGGUGAAAUUCGUAGAUAUUAGGAAGAACACCGGUGGCGAAGGCGACACUCUGGACCGGUAUUGACGCUGAGGCGCGAAAGCGUGGGGAGCAAACAGGAUUAGAUACCCUGGUAGUCCACGCCGUAAACGAUGUGGGGAGCCGAAGUGAAAAUAUGGAUUUUGGUUAACGCUCUCCUAGGACUUGGAUUGACUUGGA
rnacentral:rRNA from 1 species